GAAACAUUAAGUUCUGGUCAAGUGCUCACCAUUCUGCAGAAUAAGGACCAGAACUUUACAGAGGUAAACUGUGUCAGUUCUUUUACUAUUACAGCAGUUCAUCGUGGCCCUGUAGUUCGCCUCCUUCACCAAAGCUCUGUCAGGGACCUACAUGAAGAGUGCCAUCACUCAGAGAGACACUUUGACCUGUCCUGCUCUCUCAUCGGACUCAUAGACGGCAGCUUUGAGAUGGGUUUCAACAAUAACAUUGAGUUGCUUGAGAAUUCAUGUAGUAAAAACCAGAUACAGACUACAGUAACCUGCUUUUCCUGGCUGUGGUCAGCCAUUUUGGGGCGAAGCUGCACCGGCCCAGGAUCAUUGCUAAGGGCUGUUUCCUCAUGGCUGUAGGAUCCUCCCUCACAGGCCUGCCGCACUUCUUCAUGGGAGGGUAAAAACAACUGAAAUACUGGUUAAACUUGUACUUGUGGAGAUACUCCAAUGCGGAGGAUAGUUUCACUUUAGAAAUAAAGAAAUGUAUCCAGUUGUUGAUUAAUCUCAGUUAACUUAGAACUAAAGUCUUGCGUAAUUGGUCAGCUGCUUGAUUAUGUUUUGGGGCCAUACAUGUUAAGAGAAGGGAUUA